rnacentral:rRNA from 1 species
CAGCCAUCCUUUAAAGAAAGCGUAACAGCUCACUGGUCUAAUUAAGAGAUCCUGCACCGAAAAUGUAACGGGGCUCAAAUCAUUUACCGAAGCUUUGACAAUUACUUUGUAAUUGGGUAGCGGAGCGUUCUGUAAGCCUGUAAAGGUGAUGCGUAAGCAUUGCUGGAGGUAUCAGAAGUGCGAAUGCUGACAUGAGUAACGAUAAGAAAUGUGAAAGACAUUUCCGCCGAAAUCCUAAGGUUUCCUGCGUAAAGCUAAUCUGCGCAGGGUUAGUCGGCCCCUAAGGCGAGGGCGAAAGCCGUAGUCGAUGGGAAGCAGGUUAAUAUUCCUGCACCAGCUGGUAGUGACGGAUGAAGUAAAUUGUAAGUUCUUACUGGAUUGAGCUUGCAGUGAAUUUGUCCCUGGAAAUAGCUCCAGCAUUAGACCGUACCAAAACCGACACAGGUAGGAGGGUAGAGAAUACCAAGGCGCUUGAGAGAACUAUGUUGAAGGAACUCGGCAAAUUACACUUGUAACUUCGGGAUAAAAGUGACCUGCUAUUGGGCAACCAGUAGGAGGUGGCACAGAAGAGGGGGUAGCGACUGUUUACUAAAAACAUAGCACUAUGCAAAGUCGAAAGACGACGUAUAUGGUGUGACGCCUGCCCGGUGCCGGAAGGUUAAUAGGAGGGGUGCAAGCCCUGAAUUGAAGCCCCGGUGAACGGCGGCCGUAACUAUAACGGUCCUAAGGUAGCGAAAUUCCUUGUCGGGUAAGUUCCGACCUGCACGAAUGGCGUAACGAUUUCCCCACUGUCUCCAACAUAGACUCAGUGAAAUUGAAUUCUCGGUUAAGAUGCCGAGUAACCGUGGUUAGACGGAAAGACCCCGUGCACCUUUACUGCAGCUUUGUAUUGGUAUUAGGGAACAGAUGUGUAGCAUAGGUGGGAGACUUUGAAGGAGUGGCGCUAGCCAUUCUGGAGUCACUAGUGAAAUACCACUCUUCUGUUCCUUGAUGCCUAACCAUACACCGUCAUCCGGUGUUGGGACCAUGCAUGGUGGGCAGUUUGACUGGGGCGGUCGCCUCCCAAAGAGUAACGGAGGCGCGCGAUGGUAGGCUCAGAACGCUUGGAAACCGUUCGUCGAGUGCAAUGGCAUAAGCCUGCCUGACUGCGAGACCCACAAGUCGAGCAGAGACGAAAGUCGGUCAUAGUGAUCCGGUGGCACUUCGUGGAAGGGCCAUCGCUCAACGGAUAAAAGGUACGCCGGGGAUAAC